GAACGCAUACCGAUCCAGAUAUAACUCCCGAUUAAAUUUUUUUUUCUGAAACAGUACCUGGACCCGUUCCGGAUUCGCUGUUUUUCCGUCCAUAAAGGUCGAUGAUUGUUUGAUCGAUCCAAUGCAGAGAAUGCUGCGGUUUAAGGGUACGGCGCUCGACCUAACGCGCGCUAGAAUUUGCAAAUUUAUGCCGGGCGUUACGACCGGACCGUGCCGUUCUCGAAUGAAAAAAAUAUAAGCUCUGCCAGUAUUGAUCGCCAAGUCACACGCAGCUACAUGGGGGACGGAGCUGUGUAAGUUGGAUUUCGAUUUUUUUUUCGGCACUAUCUUUUAGUUACAGGGUCAAUCGUGGAACAAUGUUGUUGAUGUUGCACAGGAAGGCUUUUGUGAGAGAAAUUAUGAAUUUUUCAAAAUACGCUUAGUGUAGUGUCGUCGAUUUUAUUACUUUAGUUUACUUCCGCGCGGUGUGGUCGUCCGAUGUCUUCUGCCGGCUCUCGAUCUGCUUCGCCUUGCCGUGUGCUCGAUGUUUCCCUCCCAUUCGUCUCUCUGUCCGGUGCAGAUAGUCGGCUCUCGCUGUAUGUCACUGCUGACAGCCACUGCUCUCAUAACUCACAACCCUACAAGAGCUGUGUAACGCUUCCCUGUAACUCAUCAAUGCUCAAGAUCUGAUGCAAACCGAUCGAAUACAGAAGCUUUGCAGGAAAAAGAAAGAAAGCCAAUAUCUGUGAUAUACGUU